rnacentral:rRNA from 1 species
GGGCCCGCACAAGCGGUGGAGCAUGUGGUUUAAUUCGAUGCAACGCGAAAAACCUUACCAGGCCUUGACAUCCAGAGAACUUACCAGAGAUGGUUCGGUGCCUUCGGGAACUCUGUGACAGGUGUUGCAUGGCUGUCGUCAGCUCGUGUCGUGAGAUGUUGGGUUAAGUCCCGUAACGAGCGCAACCCUUAUCCUUACUUGCCAGCACGUAAUGGUGGGAACUUUAAGGAGACUGCCGGUGACAAACCGGAGGAAGGAGAGGAUGAUGUCAAGUCAUCAUGGCCCUUACGGCCUGGGCUACACACGUGCUACAAUGGGAAGUACAAAGGGUCGCAAUGCCGCGAGGUGGAG